GAUGAACGCUAGCGAUAGGCUUAACACAUGCAAGUCGAGGGGCAACAUUAUCUUAGCUUGCUAAGAUAGAUGGCGACCGGCGCACGGGUGCGUAACGCGUAUGCAACCUGCCUGUAAUUAGGGAAUAACCCGGUGAAAGUCGGACUAAUACCCUAUAUUCUUCUUUCUCCGCAUGGAGGAGGACGGAAAGAUUUAUUGAUUACAGAUGGGCAUGCGUCCCAUUAGCUGGUUGGUAAGGUAACGGCUUACCAAGGCAACGAUGGGUAGGGGGACUGAGAGGUUGACCCCCCACACUGGUACUGAGACACGGACCAGACUCCUACGGGAGGCAGCAGUGAGGAAUAUUGGUCAAUGGGCGAGAGCCUGAACCAGCCAAGUCGCGUGAAGGAGGACGGUUCUAUGGAUUGUAAACUUCUUUUGUAGAGGAAUAACGGCAGCUAACGUGUAGCUGAGAUGCAUGUACUCUACGAAUAGUAUCGCUAAC
rnacentral:rRNA from 1 species